AUAUCAAUAAGCGGAGGAAAAGAAACCAACAGGGAUUGCCCCAGUAGCGGCGAGUGAAGCGGCAAGAGCUCAGAUUUGAAAUCGUGUUUCGGCACGAGUUGUAGAGUGUAGGCGGGAGUCUCUGUGGAGCGCGGUGUCCAAGUCCCUUGGAACAGGGUGCCUGAGAGGGUGAGAGCCCCGUAGGGUGCUGCGCGAAGCUUUUGAGGCCCUGCUGACGAGUCGAGUUGUUUGGGAAUGCAGCUCCAAGCGGGUGGUGAAUUCCAUCUAAGGCUAAAUAUUGGCGAGAGACCGAUAGCGAACAAGUACUGUGAAGGAAAGAUGAAAAGCACUUUGAAAAGAGAGUGAAACAGCACGUGAAAUUGUUGAAAGGGAAGGGUAUUGGGCUCGACAUGGGGGGUGCGCACCGCUGUCUCUUGUAGGCGGCGCUCUGGGCGCCCUCUGGGCCAGCAUCGGUUCCUGCUGCGGGAGAAGGGGCUCCGGAAAGUGGCUCUUCGGAGUGUUAUAGCCCGGGCCAGAUGCCGCGUGUGGGGACCGAGGACUGCGGCUUCUGUCUCGGAUGCUGGCAUAACGGCGCAAUACCGCCCGUCUU
rnacentral:rRNA from 1 species